GACGAACGCUGGCGGCGUGCUUAACACAUGCAAGUCGAACGAUGAAACCGGAGCUUGCUCUGGGGGAUUAGUGGCGAACGGGUGAGUAACACGUGAGUAAACUGCCCUGGACUCUGGGAUAAGCGUUGGAAACGACGUCUAAUACCGGAUAGGACAUUGGAUCGCAUGAUCUGGGGUGGAAAGUUUUUUCGGUCUGGGAUGGACUCGCGGCCUAUCAGCUUGUUGGUGAGGUAAUGGCUCACCAAGGCGACGACGGGUAGCCGGCCUGAGAGGGUGACCGGCCACACUGGGACUGAGUCACGGACCAGACACCUGCGGGAGGCAGGCGUGGGGAAUAUUGCUCAAUGAGCGACAGCCUGAUGCAGCAACGCCGCGUGCGGGAUGACGGCCUUCGGGUUGUAGACCGCUUUUAGUAGGGGAGAAGGUCUUCGGCUUGACGGUACCUGCAGAAAAAGGACCGGCUAACUACGUG
rnacentral:rRNA from 1 species